rnacentral:rRNA from 1 species
UACGGAGGGUGCAAGCGUUAUCCGGAUUCACUGGGUUUAAAGGGUGCGUAGGCGGGCAAGUAAGUCAGUGGUGAAAUCUCCGAGCUUAACUCGGAAACUGCCGUUGAUACUAUUUGUCUUGAAUAUUGUGGAGGUAAGCGGAAUAUGUCAUGUAGCGGUGAAAUGCUUAGAUAUGACAUAGAACACCAAUUGCGAAGGCAGCUUACUACACAAUUAUUGACGCUGAGGCACGAAAGCGUGGGGAUCAAACAGG